GACGUAGGGCGCGAGCGUUGUCCGGAUUUAUUGGGCGUAAAGAGCUCGUAGGCGGCUCAUCGCGUCUGCCGUGAAAACCCGCAGCUCAACUGCGGGCUUGCGGUUGAUACGGGUGGGCUGGAGUUCGGUAGGGGAGACUGGAAUUCCUGGUGUAGCGGUGAAAUGCGCAGAUAUCAGGAGGAACACCGGUGGCGAAGGCGGGUCUCUGGGCCGAUACUGACGCUGAGGAGCGAAAGCCAGGGGAGCAAACGGG
rnacentral:rRNA from 1 species